CUCUGUCUAGGUUUACGUAAUUUCUUAUGUUGUUGGAACGUUCCUUCAUUUCUCAGUUGCAGUGAUCAUUGAUCCAAUAUGAAGGUAUAGCAUGUCAGUAUGCUGAGCGGACAUCCCAUCAUAGAUAAACCAUUACACUCUUAGUAUGUGGAAUAUGCAGGUUAAGCUGCAGUUCCAGACAAAAACAGGAACUAAGGCUCAGAACUGCCGCCGAUAAACACAUCAGGAGGAG